rnacentral:sRNA from 1 species
UUGCGGGAGCUUCCUCACCGCGGGCGC